rnacentral:rRNA from 1 species
AGAACGAACGCUGGCGGCAGGCCUCAAACAUGCAAGUCUAGGGGAUGUAGCAAUACAUCACCGGCGGACGGGUGCGUAACACGUGGGAAUAUACCUUUCGGUACGGAACAACUGCGGGAAACUGCAGCUAAUACCGUAUACGUCCUUACGGAGAAAGAUUUAUCGCCGAAGGAUUAGCCCGCGUUCGAUUAGCUAGUUGGUGAGGUAAUGGCUCACCAAGGCGACGAUCGAUAGCUGUUCUGAGAGGAAGAUCAGCCACACUGGGACUGAGACACGGCCCAGACCCCUACGGGAGGCAGCAGUGGGGAAUAUUGGACAAUGGGCGCAAGCCUGAUCCAGCAAUGCCGCGUGGUGAAGAAGGUCUUCGGAUUGUAAAGCCCUUUCGACGGGACGAUGAUGACGGUACCGUAGAAGAAGCCCCGGCUAACUUCGUGCCAGCAGCCGC